AUAAUAAAAGCCUAAUAUGCAAAUUGAACAGAAUGACUGGUUGCUAUGACAUGCACUGACCACCAGGGGGCAGACACUCAAUGCAGAAGCUGCCCCCAGCCUGUAGGUCCCAAGGCAGAUGCCAGCGGGGCCCCCCACCUAUCACCCUGCCGGUUGCCCUGCACAGGGAAGCGACUGGCGGCUGCAGCAGCGGGAGGCAGAGCCAGUGAGCAAGCAGUACCAGGCCAACCAAGGUGGGUGCCAGCGGGGGCCCCCCGAUCGCCCCGCCGGUUGCCCCAGAGAUUGGCCCUGAUCGCUGGCCAGUCCUAGGGACCCUACUGGUACACGAAUUUCAUGCACUGGGCCUCUAGUAAAAAUAUAUAAUUGGAGUCCAGCCAGUGUGGCUCAGUGGUUGAGCAUUGACCGAUGAACCAGGAGGUCAUGGUUUAAUUCCUGGUCAGGGCACAUGCCAGGGUUGCUGGCUUGAUCACCAGUGUGGGGCAUCUGAUCAAUAAUUCUCUUUCAUCAUUGAUGUUCUUAUCUCUCUCUCCCUCUCCCUUCCUCGCUCUGAAAUUAAUAAAAAUAUCUUAAAAAAUACAUAGUUCACCCUGGCUGGUUUGGCUCAGUGGAUAGAGCGUCAGCCUGAGGACUGAAGGUUGCAGGUUCCCUGGCCCUGGUCGGGGUGUGUGCAGGAGGCAAUCGAUCAAUGUGUCUCUCUCACAUUGAUGUUUCUCUCUGCCUCUCCCUCUCCCUUCCACUCUCUCUAAAUAUCAAUGGAAAGUGCUCGCUUCGGCAGCACAUAUACUAAAUAUCAAUGGAAAAAUAUCCUCCGGUGAGAAUGAACAGCAACAACAAAAAUACAUAGUUGGAAAAGGGUGGCGUAUUUUAACAGCCUUUUCAGAAAACUGUGGCUGGUUUUCUCUGGCACUGCACCACAACUCAACAUGCGGAGUGUCUCCAGGUGGGCUGCCGUGGAAACCGGAAGCCACCCGGACGAACCGCUUCUUCCUGCUGCUUCACUGACCCGCGCUGAUCUCACUGGCAUUUUGAACGACUCUUACCCUCUUGUGGUUAUGGAACAUCAUGCGUUUAGACAUCUGACAAAUAUCGGUCCCUGAGUUACGCAGAUCCUCCAAACAGUGACUCAUCAUAGUGUCAUCACACGCCAUGUGGCUUCUGGAAAAACACUGUAUGUUUGUGAAAGAAUGACAAUGAAGAAUGCAAAGCAGCCCUGACCGGUGUGGCUCAGUGGAUAGAGCGUCGGCCUGCAAACUGAAAGGUCCCAGAUAUGGAAGAAGAAACCAAACAUGCCCAGAGAUGAUCAGAGGAUCUGGAGAAGGAACCACCGUCACUGAUGUCCUGAAACCCUCCCCUGCCCUGACCUGUAAUGGUUCCACAGGAGGGAGACCGUGUGAUCUUGUCUCUCUCUGCCUGGCUCCCUCCACUCAGCACCCUGCUCUCCAGGCCCCUCCGUGCCGUCGCAAGGGUAAGAGCCUUUUUUCACUGCUGCCGGUGUCCAUGAGUAAACGCCCCACAGCUCUCUCUCCGCUCCUCUACUGGUGGUCGCUUGGGCUGCUUCCAGAUCCUGGCUAUGGUAAAUAACGCUGCUGUGAACACAGGGGGGCACAUAUGCUUUCUGACGGGUGUUCUGGGGUUCUUAGGAUAUAGCCCCAGAAGUGGGAUUGCUGGGUUAAAAGGCAGUUCUAUUUUUAAUUUUUUUGAGGAAACCCCAUACUGUCUUGCACAGUGGCUACCCCAACCUGCAUUCCCACCAACAGUGCAGGAGGGUUUCCAAGAAACACGUUUUGGAUAUAGAGACAGAACGGUUCAAGUAAAAAGCCAGAAGGUGUGGUUACUUUCACGUGUCAACUUGGUUGGCCACAGGGUGCCCGGAUGAAACGUUACUUCUGGGUGUGUCUGGGAGGGGUUCCUGUGAGGUCAGCCCCAGGGGGGACGUGCAGUCACUCCGGGCUCCCCUGGCUGAGGCUCUGGGACUUCCAUGGAGCCACAGCACCAGCCUCCCUAGGUCUCCAGCUUAGAGACGGCAGACCCCGGACAUCUCAGCCUCCACAGUCAUCAUGUCAGCCUCUUCCUCACAAUCUCAUAACCAAUAUCAUCUAUCUAUCUAUCUAUCUAUCUGUCUAUCCAUCCAUCUAUCUAUAUAUAGACUGAUUUUUAGAGAGAGAGGAAGGGAGUGGGAGAGAGAGAAACAUCGAUGUGAGAGCAGAACAGGGAUGGGCUGCCUCCUGCACGCCCCCCACUGGGGAUCAAGCCUGAAACCCGGGCCUGUGCCCUGACCCGAAAUCAAACCAGCAACCUUUCGGUGCACGGGAUGACACCCAACCAAUUGGUUUUGUCUCCCUGGAGAGCCCUGAUUAAUAAUGAU